rnacentral:tRNA from 1 species
GGGGGGGGGGCUUAGCGGUUGAGCAUCUGACUUCGGCUCAGGUCAUGACUGGGCUCGCAGCUGACAGCACAGGGCCGGCUUGGGAUCCUCUGUCCCCCCCCC